CCUGGUAGCGGGGGGUAACUAUUGGAAACGAAUAGCUAAUACCGCAUGAAAUUGCUUAUCGCAUGAUAAUUAAAUUGAAAGAUGCAAUUGCAUCACUACCAGAUGGACCUGCGUUGUAUUAGCUAGUUGGUGAGGUAACGGCUCACCAAGGCGACGAUACAUAGCCGACCUGAGAGGGUGAUCGGCCACACUGGGACUGAGACACGGCCCAG
rnacentral:rRNA from 1 species